AAGACCUUGCGCUUUUGGAGCGGCCGAUGUCUGAUUAGCUUGUUGGUGAGGUAAAGGCUUACCAAGGCUUCGAUCAGUAGCUGGUCUGAGAGGACGGCCAGCCACACUGGGACUGAGACACGGCCCAGACUCCUACGGGAGGCAGCAGUGGGGAAUUUUGGACAAUGGGGGCAACCCUGAUCCAGCCAUGCCGCGUGAGUGAAGAAGGCCUUCGGGUUGUAAAGCUCUUUCAGCCGGAACGAAACGGUUACGGUUAAUACCCGUGACUACUGACGGUACCGGAAGAAGAAGCACCGGCUAACUACGUGCCAGCAGCCGCGGUAAUACGUAGGGUGCAAGCGUUAAUCGGAAUUACUGGGCGUAAAGCGUGCGCAGGUGGUUUUGUAAGUCAGAUGUGAAAUCCCCGGGCUUAACCCGGGAGCU
rnacentral:rRNA from 1 species